UACGUAGGGUGCGAGCGUUGUCCGGAAUUAUUGGGCGUAAAGAGCUCGUAGGCGGUGUGUCACGUCGGCCGUGAAAACCUGCAGCUUAACUGUGGGCGUGCGGUCGAUACGGGCAUCACUGGAGUUCGGCAGGGGGGACUGGAAUUCCUGGUGUAGCGGUGAAAUGCGUAGAUAUCGGGAGGAACACCUGUGGCGAAAGCGGCGCACUGGACCACAACUGACGCUGAGGAGCGAAAGCGUGGGGAGCGAACAGG
rnacentral:rRNA from 1 species